rnacentral:lncRNA from 1 species
AAGAAUCGACUAAUUGCUCUUUUAUAGGAGAAUGUGGAUCUAUUUGCUUGAUCGACCCAGACAUGCCCAACAUCGAUCCGACGGUGAUAUCCCAUCACCUCAAGAUGGAUCCAACUCAUCUCUCGAUGAAGCAAAAAAAGCAGAGUUUCACCCCGGAGUGCCAAAAAACUAUAACCGAGGUGGACAAGCUUCUCAAAGCCG